rnacentral:lncRNA from 1 species
GUGCUCCGGUAGAAUUCUUCAUGGCAUGAGGUGGCAGUGGCUAUGGGGUCAAGCUCCUCUGCCUUUGGAAAGGGAAGAAGAGUGGGAAGGACUGCGUCUUAUGGUUUCAGUGCCAACUUAGCCACAAUACCAUAGAACACCAGGUAGGCUUCUAAGGUUUUUGAUAGAACACCAAGCAGAUUUAUCCUAAUGAAGACUACCUCAAGACAUUUAAUAAUCAUACUCCCAAAGGUAAACAAUACAGAAAGAAUCCUUUAAAUGCAGCAAGACAGAGGAAACAACGUACAAGGGAGCUCUGGCUGUUCCGCUAUGGAGUAGCCAUUCUUUUAUUUCUUUACUUUCUUAAUAAACUUGCUUUCACUUUAUGGAUUCACCUCAAAAUCUUUCUUGUGCAAGCUCCAAGAACCUUCUCUUGGGGUCUGGAUCGGGACCCCUUUCUAGUAACAUCUUCCUGGCGAACCAUGAAGGGAUGAUACUGAGGAGACCCCCGACCCAAAGGAAAUAGACUGCAGCAACAAUUGACUGACUUUGGGUAAGUGGUGGGGUAUCCAGUAAAGGAUGGGAUUGAGUUAGAGGCCCAAUUUAGGGGAGUUAGAGCCUCUCCUAGAAACAGAGAGGGUUAAAGCACUUUCUCUAGAGACAGAGAGGGUUAAAGGCCCCUCUUAAAAGGCAAUGACACUUGACCAAACUUGGGUUUGAGGCCCAACUUAGGAAGGUUACAGACCUUCCUAAGAUUUAGGGGGUUAGAGGAUCCUCUCAAUAAAGUCCCUGUCGGCUAAAAAAUUGAUUUGACACCAUGGGAUGUUAACUGUUACUCUCUUUGGAUUAAUCUGCCUUGCACUCUGCUGAUGGCUGUGACAGGAUUAGGCAGGUACAGGAUCAUGGGAUAAGGGGAGCUUUUUUUUCCCUAAAGGGGAAAACUUGAGAGCUAAUGGGAAUGCUGCAGAAGAUCCUUUGUGACCAACAAACAGCUGCCUGAACUUUUGAUUAAAUGUCACUGCAAUGGGUGGGUCUUUCUCUAGCCUCCCUGAGCUCUUCGACUUCCCCACCUUGCAGCAAGCAAUGCUUUUCUCUCUCUCUCUUCUUUCCCUUUAUUAUUUUUUCUGUUACUUGGGGUGACCAUCUUGCCCAGAGAACCACAUGUUGAAACUAUUUUAAUCCACUUUGAAUGGAUUAAAGGUGACAGAGCCCAUCAGGGGGCAAGUUUGAGCUUUGCCAGCUCAAUAUUUGUAUGGUUUGUCAUAUGUAUUUUUCUCUGGCUGAAUGGAAAAUAUUAAUUCAGGUCCCCCAUGCAACCAGUUGGGUGGCCACUUGCAAAAUUGAGAGGCUUUUGCCUGUGGUUCCAUGAAACAGAAAAAAAAAAUUCUUUUGUGUUGUGGCUUGGCCCCAAGGGCUUUGAGGUAGCAAGCAAGGUUACUAGGGCUGCUCAGGGAAAGAGAACCCAGAAACCUGACAUGUUAGCAAAAGGGUAAGGAUUUCUUACUGAUCAGACUUCUGUCCUCUUUCUUUAUGCAAACUGGUUGAAUGAAUGGUAAAAAUCACUGUUUAUCUCAUCUGUAAAGUUUUGAUUAAUAGGAAAAACAAUUUGUGAGGCUAGUCUUAAGCUGUAGCAAAUCUGGUGUGCUUUGUGUGUCUUUCUGUAUCAUUCUGUCAUAAAGAGGAAUACCUUAGGAUAGAACAUGGGCUUAGGAUCUCAGUUACAAACUGCUGCAGGUCUCUGAAACAACAAAAAAACUGGAUGAAGUUUCCUUCUCAUCUUGUUUCAUAUCCUUGGGAGCUUGACCUUGUAACCAUGUGGCGGUACUCUCUUGGUCUCUGCUAUCCAGGGAACAGAAGUUUGAGGGCUCAUGUCAUAGUUAGCCCUAAAAAUUAUAUUGAGCAGUUAAAAGCCUAUGCAAGCUCAAAACUGACUGCUCUAGGCUCCUUCUGGGAAGAGCAAUAGAACUGUCCAGUGCUGUAGCUUAGUAGCUAAGGCUUAUUAGUUUCACCUGGGAGAAAGUUCAAAAGCCAGAAAUAUUGGCCAUUGGCCUGGCUAGUAGGAAGGAUAAAGUUAAAAUGUAGAGUUUUUAUUAGUUUUCUCUUUGCUUGCUUGUUUUUAUAUAAUUGUUAACUUGUCAUCAGUUUAAAAUAAUAUAUUAUGUUAUUUGCAAGCCUUAUGGUAACCUCAAAUCAAAAAUUAAACAUACAACAUAUAACAAAAAGAAGCUAGACAUUAAAGAACAGCGGUAGGGAAAAUCACUUUCACCAAAAGGAAGACAGGAAGGAAAGAAGGAGGGAAGAGAAGACAACAAAACACCAGUAAACAAGAAAAUGAAAGGAGUAAAUCAUUACUGAUCAAUAAUAACACUGAAUAUAAGUGGAUUAAACUCUCCAGUGAAAAGAAAUAGAGUGGC